GGGGAUUUAGCUCAGUGGUAGAGUGCUUGCCUAGCAAGCGCAAGGUCCUGGGUUCGGUUCCCAGCUCUG
rnacentral:tRNA from 1 species